CUUAGGGUUUUUUAUUUCUUCGUUUUUUCCUCCCCUCCCAUCCCAUUACGUUUCUUCCUCCCCUUUCGUUUCAUACUCAGCCAGCCGCCACCGAUUCCAAACCUCUCUCUCAGCCAUCACGUCACGCCUCUCUCUACCGCCGCUCUUCUCUCAGCCUCUCUCAGUCGCCGUCGUCACGCAGCAAAUCGGAGAUUCCAUUCGCUCGCAGCGUCCACCUCUUCGUCUCGCAUAGCUCUCUGUAUCUGUCUCUCUCUCAGAUGGUCGUUACCAGAUUGGAAUCUACACUGUACGAGGAAUUCAAUAUGGGGAGGAGAUCACAUUCGACUACAAUUCUGUUACAGAGAGUAAGGAAGAAUACGAAGCAUCAGUUUGUUUGUGUGGCAGCCAAGUUUGCCGGGGAAGCUACUUGAAUUUGACAGGCAAAGGAACUUUUCAAAAGGUGCUGAAGGACUGCCAGAUUGGGUGAUUGCAUAUUCGGCUCGCUUGGUGAGGUUUAUAAAUUUUGAAAGAACAAAGCUUCCUGAGGAGAUUUUAAAGCAUAAUUUGGAAGAAAAAAGGAAGUAUUUUUCAGAUAUUUAUCUUGAGGUUGAGAAGAGCGAUGCUGAGGUUCAGGCUGAGGGUGUUUACAACCAAAGGCUUCAGAAUUUGGCUGUUACUCUUGAUAAGGUGAUUACCUUUUUCCAAUUUAUAAAGGAGCUUGUCAUCCUUUUGUUUCUUUAUCACUUUGUUAAAUACUUGUUAAAGUAAUUUAGUGGAUACCUUUUGUACUGAGAGUUGUGCUCAAGCACAUUGUCUUGAGGUUGUGGUUUGGUAGCCAAAGAGGAGUGGACCUUGUUGUUAGAGACAUGAGAGAAGCAGUGUAUGUUAUCAAAAUGCGCAAGCAGGUUUCUAGAGUGUUGUUUUUAUUUUCUACAAAUUCAGGUUAUUGAUGGCAAUACAUGGAUCUGCUAGGUUCACUUGGUGUACUCGGUUUUCUGAGAUGCGGCAACAAAAGAACAAAAGAAUGGAGUUAUAAUUUUAAAUUUGAUUGUAAUAUAAUUUGUUUUAUUAUGUGUAUUUUCUUGUUGGUUGUAAUUUUAAAUUUUAUAUUGGAUUGUUUUAUUAUUUUUGUCAAAGAAUGGUGGUUGUUUCAAUA